AUACCAUCCUUCUUGUAGUCCAUGUUCUUUUAUUCCAAACCCGAGCGCCAGAGCCGCACAUACAAGUAAAAUGAGGAUGGUGGUGUCCUUGAAAGCUUCCACAACAAAGUAAAAGAAACUCUUCGGUGGCCGCUUGUGAUUAUUUGUUCAACAGAUGAAUCAUCUUCCUCCACAUUCUCAAAGUUAAUUAAAUUGUAAUGGACAUUUCCUUUGGUCACUGCAAGAGAAAGCAUGGCCCGGAUUGAAUAUAUUGCUGCAAAGGCAAAUCUCCAUCUCCUUCGAGCUAUGCUGAUGUUGAGAAGCAAACUCUCAUGAUAAGUAGAUUCGUAUUUCCCCAUGCUUAUUGCUUCUUUCUUCCUUGUGAAAUGCCAAAAGUCUAAUCUUGUGGAUUUAUGAAACCUUAUAUAUAGCAAUAUCUUACAAGUUGAUAAAGGAAGACUUCUGUAGCAAUAACUUCUGUAGUCAAAUCUAAUAAAUGUAGCUCAAAUAAAAAUCAAAGAAACAUACAUAAAUGAUUAUUAUACUCAAA